CUUCGNGUGAGCGGCGGACGGGUUAGUAACGCGUGGGAACGUACCCUUUUCUACGGAAUAGCCAUUGGAAACGAUGAGUAAUACCGUAUACGCCCUUCGGGGGAAAGAUUUAUCGGAGAAGGAUCGGCCCGCGUUAGAUUAGAUAGUUGGUGGGGUAAUGGCCUACCAAGUCUACGAUCUAUAGCUGGUUUUAGAGGAUGAUCAGCAACACUGGGACUGAGACACGGCCCAGACUCCUACGGGAGGCAGCAGUGGGGAAUCUUAGACAAUGGGCGCAAGCCUGAUCUAGCCAUGCCGCGUGAGUGAUGAAGGCCUUAGGGUCGUAAAGCUCUUUCGCCAGGGAUGAUAAUGACAGUACCUGGUAAAGAAACCCCGGCUAACUCCGUGCCAGCAGCCGCGGUAAUACGGAGGGGGUUAGCGUUGUUCGGAAUUACUGGGCGUAAAGCGUACGUAGGCGGAUUANAAAGUUAGGGGUGAAAUCCCAGGGCUCAACCCUGGAACUGCCUCUAAAACUACUAGUCUAGAGUUCGAGAGAGGUGAGUGGAACUCCGAGUGUAGAGGUGAAAUUCNUAGAUAUUCGGAAGAACACCAGUGGCGAAGGCGGCNCACUGGCUCGAUACUGACGCUGANGUACAAAANUGUGNGGAGCAAACAGGAUUANAUACNC
rnacentral:rRNA from 1 species